ACGAACGCUGGCGGCAGGCUUAACACCUGCAAGUCGAGCGCAUCCUUCGGGGUGAGCGGCGGACGGGUGAGUAACGCGUGGGAACGUGCCCUCUUCUACGGAAUAGCCUCGGGAAACUGAGAGUAAUGCCGUAUACGCCCGCAAGGGGAAAGAUUUAUCGGAGGAGGAUCGGCCCGCGUUGGAUUAGGUAGUUGGUGGGGUAACGGCCUACCAAGCCGACGAUCCAUAGCUGGUUUGAGAGGAUGAUCAGCCACACUGGGACUGAGACACGGCCCAGACUCCUACGGGAGGCAGCAGUGGGGAAUCUUGGACAAUGGGGGCAACCCUGAUCCAGCCAUGCCGCGUGAUCGAUGAAGGCCUUAGGGUUGUAAAGAUCUUUCAGCUGGGAAGAUAAUGACGGUACCAGCAGAAGAAGCCCCGGCUAACUCCGU
rnacentral:rRNA from 1 species